UUUACUAGCUUUGGAGACAGAGAUGGGUGCUAGUGUGAUCAGAGCACCUUUUUCAAAACCACCUGACCAAAAUUAGCCUCAGCAGCAGAGCAGAGAUCCACAGCAUAGUGUCUUACAAAGGGUUUGGCUGGAAAACAAACCAACUCUUUAGUCUGCACAUCUUCAAAUGAGCAUGGGAGACAGUCAUCAUUCAGGAGGCCAUCAAACCUAAGAGGCGCUCAAUGGUGCGAGCCCUUUGCUUGGGAGUGACUUGAACGAUAGAGAUCAGGAUUAGACGGAGAAGAGCAGAAACUUUGCAAUGCGACAAGCGCAGUGAACAAGAAGGAACUGAGAGAGAAGGUGCUUUCCCGCCUAAUUUAACCGAUGCUUCCUGCACACCUCAGAAUGCUGGAGAGCACCUCUUGUAGCUUGAUACUCCUCUGUGGGACUACUGCACAGAUGCAGAAGACCCAGUUGUGUGGGAACAUGGAUCACCUCAGAAAUCACAAUAUUGUUAUUACUGACUGGCAGCAGCUCUCCAGGGGUCUUUCCCAGUUCUACCUGGAAAUGUCGUGGACUGAACCUGGGAACUUCUACUUGCAUAUGUGCCUUAACACUGAGCUACAGCCCCUCCCCUAUGUAUUGCUUACUAGAACUACUUUCCUCAGGACAUCCCGCUGCUCUGCUCCUGACUGAAACCUUCUACUUCCUCAAUGCCAGCUCA